AAUCAGCUGCCAGCACUGCUAGAAUAAAGCAGGCAGAAGAAUGCGGAAGGACCAGACUGGCUGAGUGUUCUGGCCUUAACUUUUCUCCCAUGCUGGAUGUUUCCUGCCCUCAAACAUCAGAAUCCAAGUUCUUCAGCUUUUGAACUCUUGGACUUACAUCAGUGGUUUGCCACGGGCUUUCGGGCCUUCGGCCACAGACUGAAGGCUGCACUCUCAGCUUCCCUACUUUUGAGGUUUUGGGACUCAGACUGGCUUCCUUGCUCCUCAGCUUGCAGACGGCCUAUUGUGGAACUUUACCUUGUGAUCGUAUGCCCCCUGAGAGGUCUGGGAUAUUCACCCAUGGUCAAUCAAUGCUUAUGAGGCACAGCAAGAAUCAGUGUGGCAGAUAUUAAAGACUCAGGCGUCAUGUUGUGAGGCCUCUCAAGCAGCUGUGUGGAGAGUUUUACGUGGAAAGGAACUGAGGCCUCCCACUGAGAACCAGCCCAGUGAGAAGCUAAUGCCUCAGCCAACAGUGACAUAAGAAGCAGAUUCUCUUGCUCUAGUUAAACCCUGCAGCCCCAGUCAACAUUUUAAUGGCAACCACAUGAGAGACUGAGCCUGAACAACCCAGCCAAGCUGCUCCUGGAUUCCUGUCCUUCUAAAACUGCG
rnacentral:lncRNA from 10 species